rfam:Roseovarius halotolerans strain CECT 8110 genome assembly, contig: 0001
AAUCCGUCACAACGGCUUCCUGGCGUGACGGCUAAACCCAAUGGAGCA